rnacentral:rRNA from 1 species
GAUGAACGCUGGCGGCGUGCCUAAUACAUGCAAGUCGAGCGAACAGAUGAGGAGCUUGCUCCUCUAACGUUAGCGGCGGACGGGUGAGUAACACGUGGAUAACCUACCUAUAAGACUGGGAUAACUUCGGGAAACCGGAGCUAAUACCGGAUAAUAUAUUGAACCGCAUGGUUCAAUAGUGAAAGACGGUUUUGCUGUCACUUAUAGAUGGAUCCGCGCCGCAUUAGCUAGUUGGUAAGGUAACGGCUUACCAAGGCAACGAUGCGUAGCCGACCUGAGAGGGUGAUCGGCCACACUGGAACUGAGACACGGUCCAGACUCCUACGGGAGGCAGCAGUAGGGAAUCUUCCGCAAUGGGCGAAAGCCUGACGGAGCAACGCCGCGUGAGUGAUGAAGGUCUUCGGAUCGUAAAACUCUGUUAUUAGGGAAGAACAAAUGUGUAAGUAACUAUGCACGUCUUGACGGUACCUAAUCAGAAAGCCACGGCUAACUACGUG